CGACAACUUUGACGAACUCCUCAGGAAACGAACUGGCAACUUCGAUGAGCUCCCCAGGACAUUAAAGAGUCAUUGCGGGGAGGACUGUGGGAAGAUGGUGGAGUAGGAAACUCCAGGAAUCAGUCCCUCCAUCAGAACAACUAUUAAACAAGCAGUAACCGUCUGAAUCAACUAUCUCCAAACACUGGAAUCUAUCCAGGGAAGAGCAGAAGAAGAAUCUGUGCACAGCCUUCAGUACUCCAACAGCAGCGGUAGUCUGUCGUUCAAAACCUUGUCCUAUAUGAUCUGCAUGGGCUCUUGUCCUAUCUUCAAAGAGCAUCUCACGGG